rnacentral:piRNA from 1 species
UUUGAGGUAGGUUAAGAAAUACUGCAUAUUU